rnacentral:rRNA from 1 species
GAUGAACGCUGGCGGCGUGCUUAACACAUGCAAGUCGAACGGAAAGGCUCCUGCUUGCAGGGGUACUCGAGUGGCGAACGGGUGAGUAACACGUGGGUGAUCUGCCCUGCACUUCGGGAUAAGCCUGGGAAACUGGGUCUAAUACCGGAUAGGACGAUGGUUUGGAUGCCAUUGUGGAAAGUUUUUUCGGUGUGGGAUGAGCUCGCGGCCUAUCAGCUUGUUGGUGGGGUAAUGGCCUACCAAGGCGUCGACGGGUAGCCGGCCUGAGAGGGUGUACGGCCACAUUGGGACUGAGAUACGGCCCAGACUCCUACGGGAGGCAGCAGUGGGGAAUAUUGCACAAUGGGCGGAAGCCUGAUGCAGCGACGCCGCGUGGGGGAUGACGGCCUUCGGGUUGUAAACCGCUUUCGCUAGGGACGAAGCGCAAGUGACGGUACCGGGAGAAGAAGCACCGGCUAACUACGUG